CUUCCUGUAGGUAGCCAACCUGAAUGCAAAGGAUAAUUCCUUCAGUCUGAAGGAACAUUUAUUUAAAGACAUUCAGAAAGAUUGGCCUGGCUACACUGAAGUAGACAGACAGGUUUUGGAGAUAAGACUUUCUAGAGAAUCAGCUUCCUCUCAGAAUGCCACCAGCACCAGCCAUUUGACACCUCGGGGACCUUCUGAUACAGAUGCUCCAUCAAGAACUUCUGAGAAACGGCCUCUGGAUUCCAAUUUCACCUUCCCUGUGGCAAGCAAAAAGCAGAGGAUUGGUCGCCUGGCCAGUCGAGUCCAGCCAGCAGCCGGUGGCCUCAGUCCUGCUUCCUCAACACUGCCUCCCACAGUCCUUCCGACU